GACCCUAAAAAGUCCUUUAAACACAAAGGUCUGGUCCUAGCCUUGAAAUCAGUUUUUACUUUACUUAUACAUGCAAGUCUCCGCACCCCUGUGAGAACGCCCUUUAAUUCCUCUUAGGGAAAAGGAGCCGGUAUCAGGCACAACAAUUAGCCCAAGACACCUAGCCACGCCACACCCACAAGGGAACUCAGCAGUAAUUAACAUUGAACAUAAGCGCCAGCUUGAUUCAGUUAAAGUAAACAGGGCAGGCAAAUUUGGUGCCAGCCGCCGCGGUUACACCAUGUGGCCCAAAUUGAUGUCUUUCGGCGUAAAGAGUGAUUAAAGUACCACCUCACUGUAGUUCAACUAUAAUUAAGUUGUGACAAGCUUAUAUAUAGGACACCCAAAAACGAAAGUUACUACACUCAGAACAACUUGAACUCACAACAGCUAAGACACAAACUAGGAUUAGAGACCCUACUAUGCUUAGUCGCAAACUUUUAAUUACACCCAAAACGCCUGGGAACUACGAGCAAAGCUUAAAACCCAAAGGACUUGACGGUGCCCCAUAUCCCCCUAGAGGAGCCUGUCCUACAAUCGAUAACCCCCGUUCAACCUCACCAUUUUUAGUUAAAUCAGUCUGUAUACCUCCGUCGUCAGCUUACCACGUGAGUGGACCAUAGUAAGUUCAAUGUCCUCGCUCGUCAAUACGUCAGGUCAAGGUGCAACUCAUAAAAUGGGAAGAGAUGGGCUACACUCUCUAAUAUAGAAAAUACGAAAGACUACUAUGAAAUGCUAGUCGAAAGGUGGAUUUAGCAGUAAAAAAAGAUCAGAGAGCUUUUUUUAACUAGGCCCUGGGGUGUGUACACACCGCCCGUCACCCUCUUCGCAGCCAUCACUUAGUUACUAACAAAACACGCACAGUAGAAGAGGUAAGUCGUAACAUGGUAAGUAUACCGGAAGGUGUGCUUGGAAA
rnacentral:ncRNA from 1 species